GGGCUAAUUUAGAACCAAUUUGAGCCAAAUUGGAUUUGGUCUUGAAGUGGGUUUGAAGUGUUUUAAUUGGGCUUGCUGUUGGGUGCCAAAAACCAGGGAACCACAUGCCUAAGAGUCUCUCUCUUGGCGUGUGGAUUUAAAUCCAUGCGCAUGAGCCACAUGGCGCAUGGAUAGAGUUGGCACCACCUUAAAUUUGGUCUUAUCUAUUUUUUCUCCAUAGUUUUUAUUCUAUGAAUGGUUUUCAGAUGUCUUAGGAGGUGCCUAAGAGUAUUUCUAAGUAUUAAACUUUUCAUAGAAAAAUUAGGAGAAGUGGUAAGAAUUUAAAUCCAUGCGCAUGUGCCACAUGGUGCAUGGAUGGGAGAUGACGCCCCUUAACUUGGUCUUUCCUAUUUUUCUCCGUAACUUUUAUUCUACAAAUAUUUUUUAGAUGUCUUAGGAGGCACCUAACAGUCCUUCU
rnacentral:lncRNA from 1 species